rnacentral:rRNA from 1 species
AGCGAACGCUGGCGGCGUGCCUAACACAUGCAAGUCGAACGGGCUGCGGCAGUGUAUCGUCGUAGCUAGUGGCAAACGGGUGAGUAACGCGUGGGUGACCUGCCUUCGAGUUGGGGAUGACCUCGGGAAACCGGGACUAAUACCGAAUACGAUCCAUCCUUCAGUGGAUGGAAGAAAGAUGCCUCGCAAGAGGUGUCGCUCUUAGAUGGGCCCCGCGUCCUAUCAGCUUGUUGGCGGGGUAAUGGCCCACCAAGGCGAUGACGGGUAGCUGGUCUGAGAGGACGAUCAGCCACACUGGAACUGAGACACGGUCCAGACUCCUACGGGAGGCAGCAGUGAGGAAUUUUCCGCAAUGGGCGAAAGCCUGACGGAGCGACGCCGCGUGAGGGAUGAA